rnacentral:tRNA from 1 species
UGGGGUGUCGACAAGCGGCAAGUCAGCAGAUUUUGAUUCUGCCAUCCGAAGGUUCGAAUCCUUCCACCCCAGCCA